rnacentral:rRNA from 1 species
UACAGAGGUCCCAAGCGUUGUUCGGAUUCACUGGGCGUAAAGGGUGCGUAGGCGGUCGGGUAAGUCUGACGUGAAAUCUCCGGGCCUAACCCGGAAACUGCGUCGGAUACUAUCCGGCUAGAGGAUUGGAUGGGAGACUGGAAUACUUGGUGUAGCAGUGAAAUGCGUAGAUAUCAAGUGGAACACCAGUGGCGAAGGCGAGUCUCUGGACAAUUCCUGACGCUGAGGCACGAAAGCCAGGGGAGUAAACGGG